GCGGUGGAGCAUGUGGUUUAAUUCGACGCAACGCGAAGAACCUUACCAGGGCUUGACAUCCCCUGACCGCGUAUGAAAGUACGUUUUCACCCUCGGGUGACAGGGAGACAGGUGGUGCAUGGUUGUCGUCAGCUCGUGUCGUGAGAUGUUGGGUUAAGUCCCGCAACGAGCGCAACCCCUACGUUUAGUUGCUAACGCGUGAAGGCGAGCACUCUAGACGAACUGCCGUUGACAAAACGGAGGAAGGUGGGGAUGACGUCAAAUCAUCAUGCCCCUUAUGUUCUGGGCUACACACGUGCUACAAUGGCCGGUACAGACGGAGGCGAAGCCGCGAGGCGGAGCAAAUCCGAAAAAGCCGGUCUCAGUUCGGAUUGCAGGCUGCAAUUCGCCUGCAUGAAGUCGGAAUCGCUAGUAAUCGCAGGUCAGCAUACUGCGGUGAAUACGUUCCCGGGCCUU
rnacentral:rRNA from 1 species